UUGCAUUUUAACCUACAAAAUAGAAGUGAUGAAUUCUCCUCGUGAUCAAUCGUGAAUCGCAAUCCUGUUCACUUGCGCUAGCACUUUUUGAUAUAUCUAAAGACUGGUGUGACGAGUUACGUGUUUGCAGUAUGGUAUUGGUACAUUGUGAGCAUCUGAUUAUAUCUGUACUCAAGCUAUUGUGACAGUUAAGAUCGGCAUCGAAGUACAAAGGUAAAAUUUAAUUACAAAACUAAUUUCCAAAAAUUUGAUUUCACCAAAUGGCUGUCGCUUUUUUGUUACAGUUAUUCGACAGGUUGGUAGCAGACCCUUUUACUACUUCCCAUACGAGUGCAGAAGCAACGUUGUAAGUGAUGCUACGCAUCCGGUAACUGAAAUCCUGGCCACACAACAUGGAGAUCUCGUGGUUGCAUCGGGCGGUCACGCUCGACAACAAACAAAUGGAAGCAAAAAGAAACCAGACCCGACCCACACAACCCUCAUCCUCCCGAGUCCGAAGUGCUUCAGGAUUCCCCUCCGCCGCCACCGCUCCGGUAGAGCUCGUCCUCAUCGGUUCCGCAUCUGGGCUGCUCCACUAUUGUCGCGGCUUCAAAAACUGCGACUGGCACACGCUCUCUCCCGGCCACGGACUUUCUCGACCGACCUCCUCCCUCGAAGUCAGUUCCCAUCUCCGCCUUCCCUCUUCAUCUUCCUCCAAUUUUACAUCUUUAUUUGCAUUGCCUCCUUUCUCCGACCGUCGCUCUUGAUUCCUUGAUUUCCUUUAGAUACAUGUGUUGUCUAUCGCUGUUCAUCUCUUUGUUCUUAACUUUUCUUUCAGGGUUCGUUUAUUAUUAUGUUGGAUGAUCAAUCGGGCUAUUCUUUUAUAUGAUGGGAAGAUGAAUAUUCUCUAUUA